rnacentral:rRNA from 1 species
AGCGAACGCUGGCGGCAGGCUUAACACAUGCAAGUCGAGCGGGCCCUUCGGGGUCAGCGGCGGACGGGUGGGUAACGCGUGGGAACGUGCCUUCUGGUCUGGAAUGACCCUGGGAAACUAGGGCUAAUACCGGAUACGCCCUUUUGGGGAAAGGUUUACUGCCGGAAGAUCGGCCCGCGUCUGAUUAGCUAGUUGGUGGGGUAACGGCCUACCAAGGCGACGAUCAGUAGCUGGUCUGAGAGGAUGAUCAGCCACACUGGGACUGAGACACGGCCCAGACUCCUACGGGAGGCAGCAGUGGGGAAUAUUGGACAAUGGGCGCAAGCCUGAUCCAGCCAUGCCGCGUGAGUGAUGAAGGCCUUAGGGUUGUAAAGCUCUUUUAUCCGGGACGAUAAUGACGGUACCGGAGGAAUAAGCCCCGGCUAACUUCGUG